rnacentral:rRNA from 1 species
AUGCCAAGUCGAAGCGGACAGAUGGGAGCUUGCUCCCCUGAUGUUAGCGGGCGGACGGGUGAAGUAAACACGUGGGUAACCCUGCCCUGUAAGACUGGGAUAACUCCGGGGAAACCGGGGGCUAAAUACCGGGAUGGGUUGUUUGAACCGCAUGGUUCAGACAUAAAAGGUUGGCUUUCGGCUACCACUUACAGAUGGACCCCGCGGCGCAUUAGCUAGUUGGUGAGGUAACGGCUCACCAAGGCGACGAUGCGUAGACCCCCCCCUGAGAGGGGUGAUCGGCCCACACUGGGACUGAGACACGGCCCAGACUCCUACGGGAGGCAGCAGUAGGGAAUCUUCCGCAAUGGACGAAAGUCUGACGGAGCAACGCCGCGUCAGUGAUGAAGGUUUUUGGGAUCGUAAAGCUCUGUUGUUAGGGAAGAACAAGUGCCGUUCAAAUAGGGCGGCACCUUGACGGUACCUAACCAGAAAGCCACGGGCUAACUACGUGCCAGCAGCCGCGGUAAUACGUAGGUGGCAAGCGUUGUCCGGAAUUAUUGGGCGUAAAGGGCUCGCAGGCGGUUUCUUAAGUCUGAUGUGAAAGCCCCCGGCUCAACCGGGGAGGGUCAUUGGAAACUGGGGAACUUGAGUGUCAGAAGAGGAGAGUGGAAUUCCACGUGUAGCGGUGAAAUGCGUAGAGAUGUGGAGGAACACCAGUGGCGAAGGCGACUCUCUGGUCUGUAACUGACGCUGAGGAGCGAAAGCGUGGGGAGCGAACAGGAUUAGAUACCCUGGUAGUCCACGCCGUUUACACUAAUGCUAAGUGUUAGGGGGUUUCCUCCCCUUAGUGCUGCAGCAUACGCA